GGACUCUGUCCUCUUUGACAUGGAAAUCUUCUCUGGUUCAUUUCCUCUGUUGAGUCCAUCAAGAGAUAGAGAUCCUGUUUGUUCCCCUUUCAAAGCAUCUAUCCUUUUAGCUGGUCAACUACAGUGGGACAAAUGAAGGGCAUCCAGUGGUCUGGCAGAGCUUUGAUCAGCUCUGUUUCUUCCAGGAACAAUAUUGCUAUCUUGCUGUGGAUUCCUCAUAUUGAGUCUGUACUUCAACCCAUCCAACCAGAGAUUGACUCUUGAUGUUGAAUCGUGAUAUGUCAAAGAGUAUUGAUUCAGACACAUACAGCAAUUCCCCCUCCGCACUUCAAUCGCUGCCCGGGGGGCAAAAACAGAAGGAGACUCGUGAAGUAUAUCUUGACCUACUGCCAUCCCUUCACAAGGUUUCUGCUUAACCCUAAGGUCAUGCCCCUCCACUCCACAACACAAUAUUUAUGUUUAUCCAGCACAAACCCACGAGAGACUCUCCUCAACACAUAUCUGCGUGUGUUACUUCAUUUGAAGUUAGAAUGGCAGUACAAAUCUCUAAGCAUGAGGAAAAACCAGAUGAGUUGUGUACAAAUACAUCCUUGACCCCUGACCUUGAGAUGGCGUCUCUCAUAAUGAACUCCUCAUGUCUUUUGAUAUUCAA